CGUGUAGGCGGUCAGGUAAGUGGAAUGUGAAAUGCCCCGGCUCACCCGGGGACCGGCAUCCCAAACUGCCUGGCUUGAGUAUGGGAGAGGAUGGAGGAAUUCCUGGUGUAGCGGUGAAAUGCGUAGAUAUCAGGAGGAACACCGGUGGCGAAGGCGUCCAUCUGGCCCAAUACUGACGCUGAGGCACGAAAGCUAGGGGAGCAAACGG
rnacentral:rRNA from 1 species